rnacentral:rRNA from 1 species
UCGGGUUGUAAAGCACUUUUGUUCGGAAAGAAAUCCUUGGUUCUAAUACAGCCGGGGGAUGACGGUACCGGAAGAAUAAGCACCGGCUAACUACGUGCCAGCAGCGCGGUAAUCGUAGGGUGCGAGCGUUAAUCGGAAUUACUGGGCGUAAAGCGUGCGCAGGCGGUUUGCUAAGACCGAUGUGAAAUCCCCGGGCUCAACCUGGGAACUGCAUUGGUGACUGGCAGGCUAGAGUAUGGCAGAGGGGGGUAGAAUUCCACGUGUAGCAGUGAAAUGCGUAGAGAUGUGGAGGAAUACCGAUGGCGAAGGCAGCCCCCUGGGCCAAUACUGACGCUCAUGCACGAAAGCGUGGGGAGCAAACAGGAUUAGAUACCCUGGUAGUCCACGCCCUAAACGAUGUCAACUAGUUGUUGGGGAUUCAUUUCCUUAGUAACGUAGCUAACGCGUGAAGUUGACCGCCUGGGGAGUACGGUCGCAAGAUUAAAACUCAAAGGAAUUGACGGGGACCCGCACAAGCGGUGGAUGAUGUGGAUUAAUUCGAUGCAGCGCGAAAAACCUUACCUACCCUUGACAUGGUCGGAAUCCUGCUG